rfam:Cavia porcellus supercont2_0 genomic scaffold, whole genome shotgun sequence.
GAGUGUGAGGGUGAUCCGGCUGCGACAUGUGUCACCCCACUGACCAUCAGGGUUGAGUCAGCUGAUCUGACCGCCUUAACGGGCACCCCCUUAUUUCCCCAGUGCUCCGGGAGCACCCCUCCCAAAGCUGCAGGCACUGUGGAAGAGAAUGAUCAACCUAAAUAGAGGAAGACAUGUCUGCAGUCAAAGGGGUAGGAGUAGAUGUGUUCCCCUGCUAGAACUGCCAAAUAAGCUCUCACGAAUUAUUUUAUUUCCUCUCAUUAUCUUACUAAACCCUAAAGAUUUUGUGACUGCCAUGUCUCUCUUUUGUCAAGAAGUAUUU